GACGAACGCUGGCGGCGUGCUUAACACAUGCAAGUCGAACGGUAAGGCCCUUCGGGGUACACGAGUGGCGAAUGGGUGAGUAACACGUGGGUGAUCUGCCCUGCACUUCGGGAUAAGCCUGGGAAACUGGGUCUAAUACCGGAUAGGACCACUGCCUGCAUGGGUGGUGGUGGAAAGCUUUUGCGGUGUGGGAUGGGCCCGCGGCCUAGCAGCUUGUUGGUGGGGUGAUGGCCUACCAAGGCGACGACGGGUAGCCGGCCUGAGAGGGUGACCGGCCAGACUGGGACGGAGAUACGGCCCAGACUCCUAAGGGAGGCAGCAGUGGGGAAUAUUGCACAAUGGGCGCAAGCCUGAUGCAGCGACGCCGCGUGAGGGAUGACGGCCUUCGGGUUGUAAACCUCUUUCAGCACCGACGAAGCGCAAGUGACGGUAGGUGCAGAAGAAGGACCGGCCAACUACGUGCCAGCCGCCGCGGUAA
rnacentral:rRNA from 1 species